CGGGCUUGAACUGCAGCGGAAGGAUACAGAGAUGUUGACGUCCUUCGGGACCGCUGUGGAGGUGCUGCAUGGUUGUCGUCAGCUCGUGCCGUGAGGUGUCGGCUUAAGUGCCAUAACGAGCGCAACCCUUGUCGUUAGUUGCCAUCAGGUGAUGCUGGGCACUCUGGCGAUACUGCCACCGUAAGGUGUGAGGAAGGUGGGGAUGACGUCAAAUCAGCACGGCCCUUACGUCCGGGGCUACACACGUGUUACAAUGGCGUGUACAGAGAGUCGGUCCAUGGCAACAUGGGUCCAAUCAUGAAAACACGUCUCAGUUCGGAUUGGGGUCUGCAACCCGACCCCAUGAAGCUGGAUUCGCUAGUAAUCGCGCAUCAGCCAUGGCGCGGUGAAUACGUUCCCGGGCC
rnacentral:rRNA from 1 species